rnacentral:rRNA from 1 species
UACAGAGGGGGCCAGCGUUAUUCGGAAUUAUUGGGCGUAAAGGGCGCGUAGGCGGCCAUGCGUGUCUCCCGUGAAAUCCCUCGGCUCAACCGAGGACGUGCGGAAGAAACUGCAAGGCUCGAGUCCGGAAGAGGGGGGCGGAAUUCCCAGUGUAGCGGUGAAAUGCGUAGAUAUUGGGAGGAACACCAGUGGCGAAGGCGGUCCCCUGGGCCGGAACUGACGCUGGGGCGCGAAAGCGUGGGUAGCAAACGGG